AUUCUCUAGUUGUAUACAAGAGCUCCUUGAGACCAGAUGCCGUUUCUCGCGUCAAUGAGGGUUGACCAAAAAGCGAUUGCAUUUGGAUGUGCACCAGAAUGCGUUUAUGAUUGUAGCGCUCUUCCAAAAGUUCCCAUGCCUUUUCAUAACUUGCAGACUCAACAGCAAUGUUUUGCAUAAAACGAUGUGCAUCACCUAUUAAACACGUUUGUAGGAAAUGCAAUUUGUCGAUGUCCUCCAGGGUCGCGUUUUUAUGGACGAGAGCUUGAAAUCUGUCGUGAAAAGCACGCCAGUUUGUGUAAGAUCCGUCGAAUUUGGGCAGAUCAAUCCUCGGGAGACGAAUCGCCGAAUGUGAGGACGAUGCAGAAGAAUGAGGGGGCGGAGCACCCAUUAGGACAUCACCUGCGAUAAGUGUUUUCGAUUUUUCCAUCGCCUCUACCAAUUCUGCCCUAUAUUCGAGCAUACCACCACCAAUGAUUGCCUCGUGAUAGGCUUUCGACGUAGCUAGAUCUUCUUCUAGCUUUGAAAGACGUCCCGAUGCAUAUGCUGGUGUUCUCCGCUCCUUCGGAGCCUUUUUGAAAUUAGUAAGGUCUUUGAUGACUUUUAGUAAUAUAAAAAAAAAACGAAAUCGGGACAGGUUUUACUAACAAGAAAAGCAACGACUUACUGCUUGUAUGCUGCGGCUACGGCUGCUGACUUUGUCGGUGAAUUGCUGCUGACGUCGUCGUCGUCGUUAAAGAUGCUGCUGGCGUCGUCGUUGAUGUUGCUGCAGGGGCUCCGAGUCAAUGAUGAAUCGUUUAAAUGAUAUAUUUUGUAUACUUUUCCUUUUUUUUAUUUUAACUAGAUUUCUUGUUUUUUAAACUGCACACACGGCACUAUAUAUUAAGUUUUUUUGUGUAAAUGUAAUUUACUUAAUGUUUUAACUUUAAAUUUGCUUGCACUGAUUGUUAUUUAAAUUAAGAAAAACAAAACCUCAAAUACUGUUUGUAUGUUAAAUAAAAACUCGAAGGACCAAAUGUUCUCGACUAGAAACUUUAGCAAAGUUUUAGAAAUUAUGCCGGUUAAAAAUGUUCCAAAGAAAAGACGUUAUCUUGUUCAAACUUGAAAUUAGAAUAAUCUUUAAUUUUAUCAUAUGACCUAGUGUACAAUACAAAAUAUAUACAAUCCAUUAAUUUCUUUAUAUAAUCUUGACAUUCAAAUGACAUUUUUAUCUUAUUUAACAAUUUGUGGAACGUAUUUAUUAUUAUUAAAAAUGAACCAAAUGAAUUUAAAAACUGAAUGAAUGUUCAAAUACUUUAAAGUUCUGUUUGCAUUUACGCGAAUUAUUUA